rnacentral:rRNA from 1 species
AACGAACGCUGGCGGCAUGCCUAACACAUGCAAGUCGAACGAGACCUUCGGGUCUAGUGGCGUACGGGUGCGUAACGCGUGGGAACCUGCCCUUAGGUUCGGAAUAACUCCCCGAAAGGGGUGCUAAUACCGGAUAAUGUCUUCGGACCAAAGAUUUAUCGCCUUUGGAUGGGCCCGCGUUGGAUUAGCUAGUUGGUAGGGUAAAAGCCUACCAAGGCGACGAUCCAUAGCUGGUCUGAGAGGAUGAUCAGCCACACUGGGACUGAGACACGGCCCAGACUCCUACGGGAGGCAGCAGUGGGGAAUAUUGGACAAUGGGCGAAAGCCUGAUCCAGCAAUGCCGCGUGAGUGAUGAAGGCCUUAGGGUUGUAAAGCUCUUUUACCCGGGAUGAUAAUGACAGUACCGGGAGAAUAAGCGCCGGCUAACUCCGUG